CUACGGGAGGCAGCAGCAAGGAAUUUUCCGCAAUGGGCGCAAGCCUGACGGAGCAACGCCGCGUGGGGGAUGACGCCCUUCGGGGUGUAAACCCCUUUUCUUGGGGACGAAGCAGUGACGGUACCCGAGGAAGAAGGCCCGGCUAACUACGUGCCAACAGCCGCGGUAAUACGUAGGGGCCGAGCGUUGUCCGGAGUUACUGGGCGUAAAGCGCGCGCAGGCGGCUCGUCAAGCCUGACGUGAAAGCCCCCGGCUCAACCGGGGAGGGUCGUCGGGGACUGGCGGGCUUGAGGUCGGCAGGGGUUGGUGGAAUUCCCGGUGUAGUGGUGAAAUGCGUAGAGAUCGGGAGGAACACCCGUGGCGAAGGCGGCCAACUGGGCCGGACCUGACGCUGAGGCGCGAAGGCGUGGGGAGCGAACGGGAUUAGAAACCCUGGUAGUCC
rnacentral:rRNA from 1 species